AUGUCACCUGACAUUCUGUUUCAUGAUGACAGGCAUUUGCAGAAAGAGUGGACCACCGACGGAAUGCUGCGUUUGCUGGUCGCUACCCUGCUGUGCCUCAGUUACCACAUAUUUAGGGCAUCGACUGUGUUUCUCGAAGAUGAUAUUCUGAUGGCUUCUAUCUGUUUCUUCUCAUGCAGCUUCCACCAUCUGUGGAAAACAAGAUCUGCUUGUUUUCCCCGAAGCCCCAUGUCUCCAGGGAUGGUGGCCCUGUUCACAGUGGGUUUUCCCAUUUAUACAAUAGAUGAACUGUAUGGAAUUGCACUGGAAGCAUUUCCGCAUCAGCCCGAUUUAAAAUAUUGAGUUUGAUAAGUUUUUGCCCCUCUUAAAAAUGUUUAUUUUCUCCCCAGUGUUAAGGAAGUGGUUAAGGGAGAUGUGAGAAUUCUAAUCUAUGAAAUUUGAAUUUCUGGGCUUCCACAUCAGCCACACUCACUCCCCAUCUCCUGUAACCGAUUUCUCUUCAAAGAAGAAACUCCUAAGUAUGGUUUCCUCUUCCUGUUACUACUACAGUCCCACCAUCAAGAACACACCUGCUUGGAGGGAGGCAGAGAAGCUCCAGGGAACUCCCACUGGCCCUGGCCAACCCCACUGCCCUUGCCCUCCAUCUGCAAAGAGAAAAAGGCCCAGCCUAUGGCCCUAGGCUGAGGUCAGUGCUGAGAGGCAAGGCCAGCGCUUCACCAGCACCAGGUCCAGGACAAACUCAUGCUUCCCUUCCCAGGGUGAGAAACUAUUGAUAUGUGAACCCCAACGGGGCCAAAUAUGUCUCUUCCUCAAGUGAAGGAAAAGACAUUUAUUUAUUUUGGGGAAACAGGGUCUCCCUCUGUUGCCCAGGCUGGAGUGUAGUGGUUCGAUCAUAGUUCACUGUAACCUGGAACUCAUGGGUUUAAGCGAUCCUCCCACCUCACCCUCCUGAGUACCUGGGACUACAGGCAAGAGCAACUGCACCUGGCAGACCUUUAUUUUAAAUAUGUGAGUUUCCUGUGAAAUAGCCACACUCAGUGAUGCUGUGCCGGGCUGUGCCAGGCCUCCUAACUCUUGGGGUCAAGCCACAAAUUAGAGAUACUCUGUGAGGAUCCGUUUCCAAAAAUUUCACUUUGUUUACAACAGUAACUCAGGCUGCUUUUGCCCCACACUUCACCAAAUUGUGUUGAUCAUAAAUGAAGUUAUACAGUCACUGCACGAUUUGUAGGAGCUGCAGGAGGUAGGGCUUAACAGAUUUGCUCUGUUCUGAGUGCCAUAUACGAUCAAAGAGUGAGAUGGCAUUUCUGGUUAAUAACAGAGCCUGAACCAAGAGUAAGUGAGACUCACUCUGCCCAUUAUGGUGUGUCCCCUUCAAGCAGACGCAUUGUCACAGCUAAAAAGUCAUUGUAACCUCAGGUGGUUUUGCAUUUGAGGAAUUUACGUGUGAUGCCUCAGCAUCGUCUGUCUCCUCAUUUCUGUAUCAAAUAUUCCUGUUUCCUGUACUCCUGUUUCUUUACCCAUCUGUCAUUCACACCAUCUGUAUCUUAUAUUUUCAUAACAAUUUGCCAUAGUUUGGAAAGGACAGGUUUUGCAUGUCUGUGUACUUGUGGACAUCAAGUGCUUGAUUUAACGCCCUUCCCUUAUGAGUGCAGUAGGAUCUGAGGGUAAAAUAGUGAUCCCUGUUCUUGGGCCUAGUGGAAGGUGAGGAAGGUUAUUCUUGUCUGUCACCUAUAUUCACAUGCCAGGCAGUGUGGCAAGGGGCAAACUCAUCACCAGCUCAAAGCAUCUGAGAAGUCAAAUGUUUGCUCUAUGUCUCCAAGAACAGAUGAUUGUGCCCAAAAGGGCAUGAUUCCUCCUACAUGAUAGUGCCAAACCCUUAAACAUUCAUUCCUUCAUUCAUUUAUAUAAAAUAGAAUCCAUCUAUAUCUGUUUUUGUAAUCAAGCAAUUUAUCCUAAGCAAAUGUCUACUUAAAGUACAAACAUAUUUGCAUGUUAAUGACCUCAAGGUAGUAUAGAUCCAUGAAUCGUGAUUUAUUUACUAGUACUCAAGUAUAGAAAUAUAAGUAAAUAUUCAUACUAUAAACAAGUAUCCUUGUACGUUUUCCUUUGCACGUUUCUCUGAUUUAAAAUGAUUCUUGGCCAGGUGCGGUGGCUCACGCCUGUAACCCCAGCACUUUGGGAGGCCGAGGCAGUGGAUCAUGUGAGGUCAGAAGUUGGAGACCAGCCUGACCAACAUGGUGAAACCCCGUCUCUACUAAAAAAAAUACAAAAUUAGCCAGGUGUGAUGCUACACGCCUGUAAUCCCAGCUACAUGGGAGACUGAGGCAGGAGAAUGGCUUGAACCCGGGAGGCAGAGGUUGCAGUAAGGCGAGAUCAUGCCAUUACACUCCAGCUAGGGCAACGGGAGCACAACUCCAUCUCAAAAAAAAAAAAAAGAUUCUUAAAAUUCAAGUGCUAGGUAAAAGCAUGUGGACAUUGAGACUUUGAUAUGUAUUAAAAACUGCACAGCCAAAGUGGACCGAUUUGCCUUUCCGGCAGUCUUAUGUGAGAAUAUACAGUCCAUGUACUUUACAGAGCUUUGUGUUAGCAUUCUUUGUAACCUUAGUACAUUUGGUAAAUGAAAAAUUAUAUCGGAUAAUUCAAAAGUUGACUUCCUUAUAUAAUAAUGUAAGGAAGUAACAAUUAUCUCAUUUUCUUUGUUCUCCAUUUUUAUAUACACUAUUGUUAUUGCCUCUACCGUGAAAAUUUUUGCUUUUGAUAAAGAUAACUUUCUAAAAUAUUAAUAUAGUUGAUGGUUAAUAUAGUUAAUAAUUAUUUUGAUAUUUUAUCUAUAUUGUCAAAAACAUUUCCCAAUACUUUUAUAUUUUAAUUUAAUUCAUGGGAAUUUUACUGUAAUAUUAAUGCUUUUUUUGUCAAAUCUUUAAUUUUGUCAUUCUUUUACUUAUGUUUUCUGAAUUUGAUGUCAUGACCUCUACAAUGUAUGUUUACAAAAAUAUUUACCGAUAUAUUUUAAUAUCUGUUGUUGUAGUUUGUUAUGUGGAACUCAUUAAUAUUUUGAGAUUAACUUGGGAAUGCACAAAGCACAAAUGAUAACAUGAGUUUUAAUUUGCAAACAACUAACAUGCAUCAACUCCUGAAUAAACCAUUAUUUUCUUAUUGCA
rnacentral:lncRNA from 1 species